AGCUUCCUCCAAGGUGUGCUUUCAGGAACUGACUACAGAAGUGGCUGCCCAGCACCUGGGCUAGAGAUCUACCUAAUCCAAAUCCAUCCAGGGUACCCAGAGGUACAAAGGGUACCGAGAGUGUGGGCUAAUACUCUGAAACAUCUGAGAAAUGCAGAGCAGAGCAUCUCCAUUGUAAGAGUUUGGCACCAAAGAGUCCAAAUAAAUUCAAAAGCUAUUUACUCUCACCACCAACACUUCCAUGAAGAAGGAGGGAGAAGAGCCAAUUGAUUCUUUAAACCUAAUUUCAGCUGUUAUAAAUGUUUGAAAGGUUUGCAAAGUGGUUUUCAAUAUUUCAUCACCCAUUUGUGUGAACAUGUUUUCUCUUUGAUGGGCCUCACCUUGAGCAGAGCUAGAGGAAGAAGGUGGAGCUGCAGAAAUGGUGAAUCUGGAGGGGCUGACCUCUCCAGGGUAGCCAGCAACACGAUCACAGCUCCACCCCAAAGUUUAUAGGUGGUCAGCAUUAAAUUCUUCC